GCAAACUUGGUCAUUUAGAGGAAGUAAAAGUCGUAACAAGGUUUCCGUAGGUGAACCUGCGGAAGGAUCAUUACAAAUCCACAUGUCUCACUCACUCUGAGACCACGUCGAACUGUUUCGCUGUCGUGCGCGCUCACGUGCACACGACGGCAACAAUCAAACGUCACUCUGUUGCUCAACACAACACAACAAACCUAGAACAACUCAUAACAAUGGAUCUCUAGGCUCUUGCAUCGAUGAAGAACGCAGC
rnacentral:misc_RNA from 1 species